rnacentral:lncRNA from 1 species
GGCAAUCGAUUAGUUAUUCGUCAAAGUUUUAUUUAUUUAAUGACCAGAAUUAAACGGGGAUAUAUAGCUCGGAGACGUAGAACAAAAAUUCGUUUAUUUGCAUCAAGCUUUCGGGGGGCUCAUUCAAGGCUUACUCUAUUUAUUUAAUGACCAGAAUUAAACGGGGAUAUAUAGCUCGGAGACGUAGAACAAAAAUUCGUUUAUUUGCAUCAA